rnacentral:tRNA from 1 species
GCGACACUAGCUCAGUUGGUAGAGCGCAACCUUGCCAAGGUUGAGGUCACGAGUUCGAACCGCGUGUGUCGCUCCA